GGGGGCAACCCCUUGAGAGUGGCGAACGGGUGAGUAAUAUAUCGGAACGUGCCCAGUCGUGGGGGAUAACGUAGCGAAAGUUACGCUAAUACCGCAUACGAUCUAAGGAUGAAAGCGGGGGAUCGCAAGACCUCGCGCGACUGGAGCGGCCGAUAUCAGAUUAGGUAGUUGGUGGGGUAAAGGCCUACCAAGCCAACGAUCUGUAGCUGGUCUGAGAGGACGACCAGCCACACUGGAACUGAGACACGGUCCAGACUCCUACGGGAGGCAGCAGUGGGGAAUUUUGGACAAUGGGCGAAAGCCUGAUCCAGCCAUUCCGCGUGCAGGAUGAAGGCCCUCGGGUUGUAAACUGCUUUUGUACAGAACGAAAAGGUUUCUAUUAAUACUAGGAGCUCAUGACGGUACUGUAAGAAUAAGCACCGGCUAACUACGUGCCAGCAGCCGCGGUAAUACGUAGGGUGCAAGCGUUAAUCGGAAUUACUGGGCGUAAAGCGUGCGCAGGCGGUUAUAUAAGUCAGAUGUGAAAUCCCCGGGCUCAACCUGGGAACUGCAUUUGAGACUGUAUAGCUAGAGUACGGUAGAGGGGGAUGGAAUUCCGCGUGUAGCAGUGAAAUGCGUAGAUAUGCGGAGGAACACCGAUGGCGAAGGCAAUCCCCUGGACCUGUACUGACGCUCAUACACGAAAGCGUGGGGAGCAAACAGGANUAGAUACCCUGNUAGUCCACGCCCUAAACGAUGUCAACUGGUUGUUGGGUCUUAACUGACUCANUAACGAAGCUAACGCGUGAAGUUGACCGCCUGGGGAGUANGGCCGCAAGGUUGAAACUCAAAGGAAUUGACGGGGNNCCGCACAAGCGGUGNAUGAUGUGGUUUAAUUCNAUGCACGCGAAAANC
rnacentral:rRNA from 1 species